AUACGUAGGGUGCGAGCGUUAAUCGGAAUUACUGGGCGUAAAGCGUGCGCAGGUGGUUUUGUAAGUCAGAUGUGAAAUCCCCGGGCUUAACCUGGGAACUGCGUUUGAAACUGCAAGGCUAGAGUGUGGCAGAGGGGGGUGGAAUUCCGCGUGUAGCAGUGAAAUGCGUAGAGAUGAGGAGGAACACCGAUGGCGAAGGCAGCCCCCUGGGUCAACACUGACGCUCAGGCACGAAAGCAUGGGGAGCAAACAGGAUUAGAAACCCGGGUAGUCC
rnacentral:rRNA from 1 species